UCCAACCUGGGUGACAGAGUGAGACCCUGUCUCAAAAAAUAAAUAAGUAAAAUAAUAAUAUAAAAACCAUUCUUAGUUAACGGCCAUACAAAAUAGGCCAGGGGAUUGACUUGCUUGUCAUAAUUGGCUGACCCCUUGUCUAAACCAAUGAGCUGAACUUCCAUGGACAUAAUGAUACAUUUCUAAGUUCAGAGCAGCUGACUCACAUCUGUGGUCUUUUCCUCUAAUAUCCUAGUUGCUUCCUUGCCGUAAUUACUGACAGAGGUGUCCCUUCAGGACCUUGCUUACCUCAAAUAGAAGCUUUUUUCUAUUCUUACUUUCUGUGUGCUUCAGGGGCAGGAGAUUGGGUAGGUGUCCUUUUUGCUUUACUGCCACUUCAGACUUUCUCCCUUAGGUCUUUGAAGUUCUAUUCUUGCCUUCUUUCCUUACUAUCUUACCUCCCAGAAGAACCUUCUGCCCAUUCAUAGAAUACUUUAGCUCGUGGCCUAGUUUUCUUCUCCCCUGCAGCAAUCAUUUUAGUGAUUCCUUGUGGAUAACAAAUAGUGGCUAGCAAAUAUAACAACAGUAUGAGUUUUAAGUUUUCCAGUCUUUUUCUCUGUCCCAUCAGAGGCCUCUCAGUGGUCACACCUGGAUCCUUAUCAGCACCUCCACUCUGUAGACCUGAUUUUGAGUAUUCCACUCUCCAUUCACUGUCACCACUCCUCUUCAUUGCUGAAGUUCUGCACUUUGACCUCACUCUCAUUACGCAUCAUCUGUCUUGUUGAGCUUAGCUUCAAGUUCAUAGUUGCUUCCUUGCAUAUACCCUGAAUUCCUUGUCUCUGACUCUAGUUAUUUCUCUUUCAGAACCCAAACCAAGUAACAGCUAUGUUUCCUUCAUGCCUGUUCUCACGCAGCUCAACAUCGCUGGAGAAUAUCAAACAGACCAUUUUCAUACUGAUGUUUGCAAAUCUCAAGUGGAUUCUCAGUACUGCUUAGUGAUCUUAUUAUGUUCCCCUACUAAGUUCAUUUUCUAACUUUGAGAUAAUUAUUUUACUACUUUUUUAUAUUUUUUUCUAGCUUGACUUGAAUACUAGCCUUCUCAAUGUUCAGCCCUUGGCUUUUUAUACAUCUUUGAGAAAAUACAAAUUACCACUUUCUUUUGAUUUAAUGGAUAUAUCUUUUUUUUUCCUUUCAAAGGAAAAUACUACUUAUGUUCUGUUUCCCACUCCUUAUUUUCUCAGAAACCUGAUUUUUCUAAGUUUUUCACGCAAUUUCUCAAGCCAGGAAUCUGCCUGUAAAAUCAUCCUUGAUUUUUCACUUUCUCUCUUCUAUGCCUUCCCACAAUAUAAUUUAAUUAGCGAGUAUUUCUGAUUCCACUUCCAAAAUGAAAAUCAAAUUGGCCCGUGUCAGGCAGUCUCACUUUUCAUCCUUACCAAAGUCGCCAUGUCUUGCCUGUCCUAUGUGCAGUAGCUUCUUAACUGGCCUUCUUGCCACUGUUCUUGCUCCUGUUGCCAGCACCCUGAUGGCCUUGUGUGUGUCCACUUGAUCCACAGCUGGGCAGGGUUUUGCUGCGGAUGACCUGACUGAGCCUUGGAAGACUGUCCUAUAAUCUUCCCAGAGCAUGGGGAUAUGGAGGAUAUCAUUUGCCUCCUGAUCUUCUGGGAAGGAGAUAGUGAGACAAUUUGUCAUCACCUGGGUUCUGAUGAACUCUGAGACUCUACCUCGAGUCACUGUAGCAUAGAGCUGCAGCCUAUAAAACUAAUGACUCAAGAUUGGUGCAAAAGUAAUUGCAGUUUUUGUCAUUUUUUUUUUUAAAAGUACUUUUAAUGGCAAAAACCGCAAUUACUUUUGCACCAAUCUAAUAUAAUACUUAGCUGCAGCAUGGACUCAGCAUCUCAGCAACAGAGUGUCCUUCCCCUUAUGUAGCACUACCAGUUCAUCUGGCCCUUUUCUGUUUGUGUCUUUCUGUAGGACAAGACAUACGGGAAGGCCGCACCUUUGCAUCUUACUGUCUGUGAAUCAAGACUAUCUGGACUCAGUGUCAGCCACUACUAAUAUUUAUACCAUCUUUCUCCUCAUUUAAAGGUUUGUUUUUUUUUUCCCUUUUUCCUAUGAUCUGUGAAGAACAAGCACACUGAUAAUUACAAAGUGCAUCCAUGUGAUACCCAGAUUUGUGCAGUGUGAUACUCAUGCUUUGGUUCUUAUGGCCAUCAUUGCCUUUUCAUGUUAAUAAAUAAUGACAGCUAACAAAAAUAAGUCACCUUUUUUAAUGUAGGACAUCUUUCUUUGACAGGCUACUGUAUCUAUAAUCACCGUUAAUCUAGCUCACUGCAAUGUCAUUCACACAUCAGUUUUACAUGAAUAUGCAAAGAACACAAUAAUCAACUGUCAAACCUAAACGAUUAAUUACUUAUCACAGAAUCUGUUGAAUAUUUUUGUUUUCUAACUGAGCAAGGGAAAUCCUGUCAGCUUUUAAAAGUAAGGGCUAGAUUCUUAGUCAUAAUUACUCAUCAUCUGUCAAGUUGACACCUCAUAUGGAUGAAAUAAGCCUUACACAUUUGAUUUAAUAACAAAAAUAGGUAAUUUUAUUCCCCUAUUGUAAGUACUUCAUAGUAACAAUUUAUUUAUUUCACAACUCUGCUAUAGGCAGAUUGAUUGUUUUAUCUUUCUAUACUUUUGGAUUUUUACCCUUUAGAGAUGUGAACUUCAUCUGACUUUAAAAUGAGGACACUUAAUUUAAUGCUUUUAAAAAUCAUAACUAACUUUUGUGACUUUGAAAUAAAAGAAUGAAUUAAACUGUUUUGAAAUACUCAACAACUGUUAAAUAAAGCAGAAGCUUAGUCUCUAAUUUUACGGCUGUGCUAUCCAAUAUAGUUAAUUCAAGUUGAAGUGUACUUUUAAAUUACCAACUGGAUUUUGAAAACUUGGUUCAAGAAACAGAUGUAAACUAUCAAUCAAUCAAUCAAUUUUUUAUAUUGAUGACAUGUUGAAAUAACAUAUAGUGUUUUUAAAAAAUCAAAAUUCAUUUUAACAAACAAACAUUUAUUUUUACUUUUUAAAAUAGGGCUACUGGGAAGUUAAAUAUUUGCAUCUGUGGCCUGCAUUUGUGGCUGUUGUGUUUCUAUUGGACAGCACUGUAUUAGAGGAACCAGAUGAAAAUAAAUAUAAGACCUGAUAACAGUUCUGUGGGUAUUUAACAGAGCUAAUUAUAUCCGAACAUUUUCUGAAAAUCUUUUGCGUGACUUAAACAAACGUAAUUAAUUCCAAAUAUCAAUGUCUUCAAAUGUAUAUUGCAUCUAUUUAAAAAAAACAUGCAUCUGUCAAAAUAACCAGACUCCACUAAACCAUACAAAUCUGUUAGCUGUCAAAGCAUAUCAAAAUAUGCAUCCUCCAAGUUCACUUCCAAUGUGACUUAGGGAUAAUGCAGACAAUUUCAGGCUUAAAACCAAAUAUGUUAGUUAUUUCCAGAUGAGACAGUUAACAUUACAAGGCCCUAGAAGUAAUACACAUCGCAAUUCAAGUCUGUAUUCUUGAACUUUUCCCCUGUUACUGUGAAGAAGAGUAUCAUGGGUCCAUUUAAUCUUUGAUUACUGCCUAAAAGCAUUCAUUGCCCCAGUAGUUCUUAAUUGUCUUGGAAAUCAUUCUCUUGCAAACUUCACAUUUCCAUAUCAUACUUUACUUUACGCUAUUACUUCAUGGGCUCCUGGGCAUUUGGUCUGUUUGUUUUUCUCCUUUCCUCUUUGAACAAAGUCAGGAAAAAUGUGUCAGUAGGAGAAAGGAGGAGCUGAAGGGAG
rnacentral:lncRNA from 1 species